UGCCAGCAGCCGCGGUAAUACUGAAGGUGCAAGCGUUAAUCGGAAUCACUGGGCGUAAAGCGCGCGUAGGCGGACUAGUCAGUCAGAGGUGAAAUCCCAGGGCUCAACCCUGGAACUGCCUUUGAUACUGCUAGUCUUGAGUUCGAGAGAGGUAAGUGGAAUUCCGAGUGUAGAGGUGAAAUUCGUAGAUAUUCGGAGGAACACCAGUGGCGAAGGCGACUUACUGGCUCGAUACUGACGCUGAGGUGCGAAAGUGUGGGGAGCAAACAGGAUUAGAUA
rnacentral:rRNA from 1 species